AUACAUGCAGUCGACGAGUUCUCGUUGAUGAUCGGUGCUUGCACCGAGAUUCAACAUGGAACGAGUGGCGGACGGGUGAGUAACACGUGGGUAACCUGCCCUUAAGUGGGGGAUAACAUUUGGAAACAGAUGCUAAUACCGCAUAGAUCCAAGAACCGCAUGGUUCUUGGCUGAAAGAUGGCGUAAGCUAUCGCUUUUGGAUGGACCCGCGGCGUAUUAGCUAGUUGGUGAGGUAAUGGCUCACCAAGGCGAUGAUACGUAGCCAAACUGAGAGGUUGAUCGGCCACAUUGGGACUGAGACACGGCCCAAACUCCUACGGGAGGCAGCAGUAGGGAAUCUUCCACAAUGGACGCAAGUCUGAUGGAGCAACGCCGCGUGAGUGAAGAAGGCUUUCGGGUCGUAAAACUCUGUUGUUGGAGAAGAAUGGUCGGCAGAGUAACUGUUGCCGGCGUGACGGUAUCCAACCAGAAAGCCACGGCUAACUACGUGCCAGCAGCCGCGGUAAUACGUAGGUGGCAAGCGUUAUCCGGAUUUAUUGGGCGUAAAGCGAGCGCAGGCGGUUUUUUAAGUCUGAUGUGAAAGCCCUCGGCUUAACCGAGGAAGCGCAUCGGAAACUGGGAAACUUGAGUGCAGAAGAGGACA
rnacentral:rRNA from 1 species